GUGCUCGCUUCGGCAGCACAUUUACUAAAAUUGGAAUGAUACAGAGAUUAGCAUGGCCCCUGUGCAAGGAUGACAUGCAAAUUCGUAAAGUGUUCCAUAUUUUU
rnacentral:snRNA from 1 species